UCUGGGAAAGCAAACCAGAAACUUCUACCCUU
rnacentral:piRNA from 1 species